GAUGAACGCUGGCGGCGUGCCUAAUACAUGCAAGUCGAGCGAACAGACGAGGAGCUUGCUCCUCUGACGUUAGCGGCGGACGGGUGAGUAACACGUGGAUAACCUACCUAUAAGACUGGGAUAACUUCGGGAAACCGGAGCUAAUACCGGAUAAUAUAUUGAACCGCAUGGUUCAAUAGUGAAAGACGGUUUUGCUGUCACUUAUAGAUGGAUCCGCGCCGCAUUAGCUAGUUGGUAAGGUAACGGCUUACCAAGGCAACGAUGCGUAGCCGACCUGAGAGGAUGAUCAGCCACACUGGAACUGAGACACGGUCCAGACUCCUACGGGAGGCAGCAGUAGGGAAUAUUCCGCAAUGGGCGAAAGCCUGACGGAGCAACGCCGCGUGAGUGAUGAAGGUCUUCGGAUCGUAAAACUCUGUUAUUAGGGAAGAAAAAAUGUGUAAGUAACUAUGCACGUCUUGACGGUACCUAAUCAGAAAGCCACGGCUAACUACGUG
rnacentral:rRNA from 1 species